UACUUAAGGAGGUCUGUAAUCCUUACCUAAUGCAUGUGCUCAGCUGAGAGAAUGAGAAAGCCAGGCCAGGCCACAAGAGGACGUGACGCAGCUCUAACCAUCUACUGGGGGACCCUGGAGGAGUAUUUGGUUUCUCAGAGGUACAAUUUCUUCAACUGCAAAGCGACAGCAAACUCUGAAGGCCUCCCAUUCAAUCCCUCAGGUACCUUCUAGGCCCUGGUCAGGGACUGUGAGUUGUGCAGCCUAGGAUAACGACCCCAGAACAGGACAAGACCUGCAAGCCAACUGAUGAGAAAAGCUACCAUGAAAGAGACCUAUUACCUCAGCUGAGAAGGAAGUCCCACACUGAUGGAGUGUGUGCUGCCAUUCUGAGCUGUUUGGCAGGAUCCAUCCUAUAUUCUGUGACUUAUAAUUACAGCUCUUCAUAUAUAACCAUGUGUACAUGUUUGCCAGCACACUAAUGCACAUGGCUGGGAAUGAAGUGGGUGUGGCAGUACACGCCUAUAAGCCCAACACAUGGGAGGCUGAGAAGAAAGAUCUUGCGUGAGGCCAGGCUGGACUAGAUAGCUUUAUUUCAACACCAGGAAAUCUGGGAAUGGCAGUAUUCCAUCAUCACUCCAAGUGGAAUCCUGAGCUCACUACACAGGCAUGGUGGCUCAUGCAGGAGGACCAGCCUGCUUGUAAGGCCGGCCUGGGCCAGAUGGUGAGUUCAAGGAGAGGUGGAACUACAAACACGACCUGUCUCACUGCCCAGGCCCCUAAAUGAAUAAAUGAACUAAACUUCCACCAGCUCACAUGUAAUGAUGAGUGAAAAUCCAGAUACAGAUGAACAUGAGACUACUGCCAUCACAGCACCAAGCAAACCCAGUCAGCCUAUGAGGAUAUCACCUCAGUAUGGUCCUCCUGUCCUGAGAGGACCAGUGGCUCUUACAGGCUGUGGCCAGCAAGACCUUCACAAAGUGGAAAGGACACUUGCUUCUUAGUGGGGCUCUGACAUCUGUGCUACAUUGAACCUCGAAAGCCUGGACACUUCUUUUCCCAUAUACUCUGUGAAAACACCCAAGGACAGAGCUCCCCAACCAUCAAGUCUUGCCAAAAUCCACUGCCAGUCGUCGCCUGCCUCGGUGGCACCCACGUGUGCACCAUCCCUCUACCUAACCCUCCUGCCUCUCUCUUCCCAGUGCUGGAAUUAAGGAGUGAGCUACCACACCUGAUUUAUUUGGAGCUUCAAACUGCGUCCGGGACUUUGCACUGACAAGAGCUCUAUCAACUAAGCUAUAACCCCAGCCUUUCAGGGACUGUUCAGAGAAGCUAAGUUAGUUCUUGCCUAUCCUAAGAGGUUCCCUCCUUGGCCCACACCCAUCCUUACUUAUCUCAGAGGCAGAGCAUCCCUAAAGCCUAGAAGCAGUAUGCAAUCUCACAAUAUGGCCAGUUGCCCUGAGUCUGAUAUCACCUUCCCUGCUGACUGUAUAAACCACUCACUGAAACCCUAGAGGUGGGGAGUCUGUCCGGUUUGCACUGUAAUGCAACGUCUUAGCAUGCAGCUGGUAACGGCUGCUGUGAGGAUGUGCAGCUACUGUCCCAGAGAAAGAAGCUAUCUCAUGUCCAGUAAUGGAAUGCCAGGGAGCUAUCAGAGUCCAGAAAAAUGCAUCGCUGGAGACACCUGAGGAACACACAUGGCAGGGGUCCAGGGUAUGUGCCAGACCAGAACCGGGGGCUGGAAGAAGGGCCAAGAGAACUGCAAACUGUCUCCGCAGAUAACCCUGACACACAGGUGGGACUGAUCUGACUCAUCUGGCGCUUUGCUUUCAUACGUGUACACCCUUGGAAGGGUGACGCAUCCAAACUACCAAUGCUGGCCCAAGAGGUCCUGAUGGAUCCCCAAAGCUGACAGCCACACGGUUCUCUCUCUGCCUCCUUGGUCUCAGGUCUGAGAACCUCACCGAAAAGAACAGGCUUAACAAGGACAAAGAUGAGAUAUCGCCAUGCUACGUUUUCCUUUCCUUUCCUUUCCUUUCCUUUCCUUUCCUUUCUCUUCCUCUUUCUUUAGAAAUAAAAAAGUUUAUUUCU
ensembl:antisense Gm42762 predicted gene 42762